CAGGUCCCGUAAGAUCACUGAAGUUAAGCAACGUCGAGCUUGGUCAGUACCUAGAUAGGUGACCGCUUGGGAAUACCAGGUGAGGUA